rnacentral:tRNA from 1 species
UUGAACGAAGCCAAAGUGUGAGGCCUAUCACUGUUAAUGAUAAAAUUGACGGAAAGUCCGUUCAAG